GUGCUCACUUCAGCAGCACAUAUACUAAAAAUUGGAACGAUAAAGAGAUUAGCAUGGCCCCUGUGCAAGGGUGACACGCAGAUUCGUGAAGCGUUCCAUGUUUUU